CAAGACCCUGAGAGAGCUUCAUGAGUACUCGUAACAUACCAUUGCAUGCAUUCUGGCUUGCGUUUAAUUUGUAUAAGUAUACUCUUUUAAUGAUUUGUGUUUUUGUUUCAGGGGACCGCAUCUGGGCGGGAGGCGGCCGACAAUGGUCACGCCAUUAUGGGGCUACCUCGCCAUCUCAGCUCUGGGCCUCAGCCUCGUCUGCUCGGCAUCAAAUAUGAUCCACCACCAUAUGGAUACACAUGAUCUCAGAAACGUCUUUCACGUGAACCUUCACGCAGACGUUCCGGAGUACGAGGUGGUCAAAGUGAGAUCGAUCCGGCGGCGGCGGGGGGCGGGGGUCCGGCCGGAGGAGGACAAGUCGAGGGUCAUGAAACUGCAGGCUUUCGGGCGCGACCUUGAGCUGACCUUGCGCAAAUCCGACGGCCUCUUCAAAGACAAGCUCCGCAUGUGGGCCGCAGAACCAACAGCACCGGCAGCAUCAACUACACCGAGCUUCCUCACGAGUAUGUGGGGGAAGCUUAUCAAGACGAGGAGUCUCAGGCUGCCAUAGUUCUACAUAGGGAUAAACACGAUGGCACCUAUUUAAUGGUGAGUCUCAUCCUCUAAAUUGCAGUAAAUUUACAACUUGGAUGAGCUCAUAGGAUUUUUCCAUAUAUAAAAGAGAGAACUAGGCCUUGUCCACACGAGCGCAGAUUGAGCGGAUAAGUUCCGCGAACUGAGGGAUUCGAGGAUUAAGUGGACAUAUUUCUACCAAACGGAACUAUGUGCAUUAUGACGUGAGUCCUGUUAUGCGUACAUUUUUAUGGGUCUCAGGGCUCAUGUCUUAAUGCACAUAGUUCCGUUUGGCAGAAAUAUGUCCAAGUUAUGGGUUAGAUAUAACAAGUUUCUGGUAAAAGUUGACCCGAAUUUCCACGAACCGCGCUCGUAUACGUAAGGAUUGAUAUUGACUUUGCACACACAAAACUGUUCU
rnacentral:lncRNA from 1 species